rnacentral:rRNA from 1 species
UACGAAGGGGGCUAGCGUUGUUCGGAUUUACUGGGCGUAAAGCGCACGUAGGCGGAUUGUUAAGUCAGGGGUGAAAUCCUGGAGCUCAACUCCAGAACUGCCUUUGAUACUGGCAAUCUUGAGUCCGGAAGAGGUGAGUGGAACUCCUAGUGUAGAGGUGGAAUUCGUAGAUAUUCGGAAGAACACCAGUGGCGAAGGCGGCUCACUGGACUGGUAUUGACGCUGAGGUGCGAAAGCGUGGGGAGCAAACAGG